rnacentral:lncRNA from 1 species
AUUUAUUUAUUGAUGUACAUGAUCAAUAUGAUAAUUUGCUGCCAUAUUUACAAGACACCUUUCUUCCAUUAUACUUCCAGACAUAUCACAGUUUCUCGUAUUUUUGUUUGGUCAAAUUUUAUACUAAUACUGGAUGCAUGAAUACAGCUUGCCAUACAUGUUAUUAGUGAACCAACACUAACACAUAUUUUUUUAGGAAGUAGCCAAUAUAUAACUGAUGGUGGCAGUACAAUACGUAUAUACUGGAUAGGUUCGGGCAAUAUGUAAAACUGAGAAAGAACGAGAGCUAUAGGUAUGCUGUUGUUAUUGCUCAUCACAUUCCAUAUUGCUCAUCAAAUACAAAACUGGAAUGUUCAGUAUUCCUUUUUCAUGAGCUCUUAACUAUUCCACUCAAUCAUAUAUAUUUUAUAGCAUAAAUAUGAUCUGCUAUGAGGUGUGCACAUUUUGAUACUUGUUAGCACUGUGGUUGUCAAUGGAUGUUUGGCUGUUUAUUUGUAGAUGGAACUUUUGUGGGGUAUGGAUAAUGUUUUUUAGUUUUUGAGCUAAGUCACUACUACUUUAAUUAAGGUAGUUAUGGAUAAUUAGUUCACACAUAGGAAAUUGAUAUGUUGCAGUGUUUACCAGGCAUGGCGUGGUUUGCCAGGUCGUCACCAAGUCCCCAACGCUGUCACCAGCCGGACCUACGACUAUACUAAGAUGAGUCUUCAUCUCUAAAAGCUUCUGUAAACUAUAUAAUGGAUCUAUUAUUCUAACCAGCAAUGAAUUUAAGUAGCAAAUUCGUUUGUCAAUGGUUAGUUGUAUAAUUGCCUGCCAACACUGACACUAAUUGACAGCCAACCAUGACCAUCAAUUUAAUUUCACUUAUUAAUUUCCAACUAUUUUUCCAGAUAAGGCUCAAUAUAUAUGAAGCUAUGAAACUUACAUACGAACAUGACUUGACUCUUGGUUGUGAAUUAUUAAUGGAGAACAUGCAACCAAUGUUUUUGAAUGAUUUUGCACAUGAAUUAUCCGGUUAUUGUUCACUAUGGGUGCAUGUGUAUUAUUGGGUUUGAGCCUUAGGCAUGCAACAAUGAGAUCUAUUUGUAUUGUCUUCUUAACUACUUAAUCCGAAAUCAUUCAUCAAGUUUGAUCUUAAAUAUUAUCACAAUACUUUUGAUACAACAAAAAUUAUUUCAACUUGCCAUGUGGAAAAUCCAGUAAGAGCAUAUCCAUGUGUAUGUUUCCUAUGAAUGGUACGGGAUUUGCAAACUUAAAAGAUAUUAGAUAUUUGACAAAUUUUUUAACCAAAAAUGUUUGAAUUAUUUGUUCUGAUAUGGCUGUUUGACUGAUUGCAAUGAUGAUUGUUCGUAGUUUUUUCGAACUGUGUAAGCAUAGAUUUACAUUUUGUAGACCCGGUGCAACGCACAGGGCUUUUAUUACAUGAAAGGACUUAUUAUCCUGACAGUCAUAAUUUCAAGAUUUUCAUAAGUGUUUGUUUAUUUGUUUGUUGUCUGCCAUGUUAAGAAUUGCAUGCAUGCUUUUAUUGAUAUAAAAUGUGCUUCAGAAAAUCACGUGUUAUGAAUCCAUGCUAUAAUUUUGAAGGUGAACAUACAGAAAAUGCAAGAUAAAACAUACUAAUAUAACAACUAUUACAAUUUUAGAGAAGAUAAAGAUCCAGAAUUGUUCGUACCUAGAGGAACUCGCCUUCUAGAUGGUCCUUGCUUACACAAGGUACUCCUUGGGUAAUUUUCCUCCAGGUCUGCUGUUGUGAUGGCCGAACGAACAGCAAGGAGGGGGAGGACGGAUGGCAGACAAGGUUAACAUAUAUAGGUAGGACAUGCGGAGAAUAACUGGGUAGCAGAUCAUGGCUGAAUAUAGUUAUACCAUAUAUAACCUUGUUUUCUACCAUAUAUACCAUUGUUGAUGGUGCAGAUAUGUUUCCUUUUUCCAUCAAAUGCACACCUGUUAAUAAAUAAGAAAAGAUGUAAAAAAUCAUAUCUUACUAAAGAAUUAAAUUAUUGUAAUAACUAAAUAAAAAGAUUUUCAUUGCUUGCAUGCCAAAGUUUAGCUACAGCAAAAAUAAAUUCACGGCAUGCACAAUAAACAUUUUCCUACUUAGAUACUUUUGUAUGAUUUAACAGUUUGUACUAAUACUUCAUUCCAUAUUAUGGUAGUAAUGUACAGUCUCAAUUUACUUUUUGUAGUUGUAAUAUCUGAGAGACCACACAAGUUCGAUGAAUGCUUUCAAUUCGAGUUUCUCCAUGGUUUCCCAAUGCCAAAGGUUACCAAUAUUAAUUCUGGAUGCAUGAAAUCAACUACUUAUUUUAGCGCUGAUGUUGAUCAGUAGGCAUUGACAUGAUAAGUACAUAUAGUUAUUUUUGCCAAAUAUAAUUCAUGACUUUAUGGAUCUUUUGCAAUAUCGUGUAUGGACUUUACUAUUUAGGGCUGCCCGUGCGUUGAUGUGGGAGUUAUAGUAAUUAUACAAGUAUAGUAAGCUAUACUUAUGCUACGUACUGUACAUGGAAUAAAACUUGCAUUCACUGCUAU